UACGUAGGUGGCAAGCGUUGUCCGGAUUUAUUGGGUUUAAAGGGUGCGUAGGCGGCCCUGUAAGUCAGUGCUGAAAUCCCCCGGCUUAACCGGGGUGGUGGCAUUGAUACUGCAGGGCUUGAGUACAGAUGAGGUAGGCGGAAUUGACGGUGUAGCGGUGAAAUGCAUAGAUAUCGUCAAGAACACCGAUAGCGAAGGCAGCUUACUGGGCUGUAAACUGACGCUGAUGCACGAAAGUGUGGGGAUCAAACAGG
rnacentral:rRNA from 1 species